GACGAACGCUGGCGGCGUGCUUAACACAUGCAAGUCGUACGGUAAGGCCCUUUCGGGGGUCCCCUAGUGGCGAACGGUUGCGUAACACGUGAGUAACCUGCCCACAACUUUGGGAUAACGCUAGGAAACUGGUGCUAAUACUGGUUAUGUGCUCCUGCUGCAUGGUGUGGGUUGGAAAGCUCCGGCGGCGGUGGAUGGGCUGGCGGCCUAUCAGCUUGUUGGUGGGGUAGUGGCCUACCAGGCCGCCGACGGGUAGCCGGACUGAGAGGGUGACCGGCGGCAUAGGGACUGAGAGACGGCACAGACGCCGACGGGAGGAAGCAGGGGGGAAUAUUGCACAAGGGGCGCAAGCCUGAUGCAGCAGCGCCUCGUGCGGGAUGACGGCCUUCUGGUGGUAAACAGCUUUCAGCAGGGACGAAGCUUUUUGUGACGGUACCUGCAGAAGAAGCACCGGCUAACUACGUG
rnacentral:rRNA from 1 species